UAUUAAUUUAGUUAUAUAAGAAAACAUAAAAUUCUAUUUAUUAGUUGUUUUAACAUUGGUGCAUUAACGUAGGCUACAUUUAAUUUGAGUAUAAAUAAGAACUACUUUUUUCACGAAUAGUUACAGGUUCAAGUAUACGUAUGAAUUAGAUUAAUUUUGUAUUUGUAAAAAAUUUGAGUUGUUUCUUAAAAUAAGGUAAAGAGUGUUUGAGUAGUUAAAUUGGAAUAUGAGAAAUAAGAGUUAUAAUUUUAAAUUAAAAAUACUUUAUCUAAGUAAUUAACAUCAAAAUAUUAAUUAAAAAUAAUUUAAUAAAUUAAUAAAUUUAUUAAUUAGCUAUGAAUAUUGUGUAAGAUAAUGAAUUUAUAUUAAUUAAUUAAUUAAAUAUAAAAAUUAAUUUAACUUUUUAAUUAAUUAGUAAAUUAUUUUAGUUAGAGAACUAGUAAAAAAUUAAUUAGAGUAAUAAAAAGCAUAUUAGUUAGUAAAUAUUAGUUUAAAAAUAAACAUAUUAAAUGAUAAUUAUUAAUAAUUAAUUAGCUAAUUAUAAUAAAUUAAUUAAUUUUUUAUUAUUUAAGCAAUAGAUAAUAAUUUAUAUUAAUUAAAUUAAUUAAUAAUUUAAUAUCAUAAUUAAAAUUAAAUUUAGAUUUUAAUUAAUUUUAUUUUCACUUGCGAAUAAAUUUAUCGCAGAAAAAAUGGUGGAACAACAGUUAUAGACUUAUAUCGAAUUAUACCAGCUUAUUGUAGAGAUCUGAAAAUUACUGUUCUCGAGUAUAAAAAUUUACGUUUAAAAAUAAAUCGGGGAGCCUUUCCCUCUGUUCCCAAACCAAAUGCUGCCUAGGGAAUCCUAAUCGUUCACAACUUAUUCCCUCAUUCAACUUUUUUUUCACUACUUAGAUUAUU
rnacentral:lncRNA from 1 species